CUCUCUUUUGUUUUGAAGCACAGAUUAAAAAACCUCUUCUGUGUUUUCUCUAGGCCUUUGGACAUUUUGGAUUCACAGUGGUGGCAGGUCAUGAAGCAUCUUUUCUUAUUUAGGGAAUCAUUCUAUUUGUUAUCAUAAUGUGGCAAGAGAAGACAUCCCCAAGUGGAAAGGGGCUUUUCUAUGGAAUCCAGUAAUUGUGUCCAUUUUUUUCAGGGCAUUUUGCUACGAUCAGGUUAUGAACCUCUG
rnacentral:lncRNA from 1 species